rnacentral:rRNA from 1 species
UAGAAGUUUUGAUCCUGGCUCAGAUUGAACGCUGGCGGCAGGCUUAACACAUGCAAGUCGAGCGGAGAUGAGGUGCUUGCACCUUAUCUUAGCGGCGGACGGGUGAGUAAUGCUUAGGAAUCUGCCUAUUAGUGGGGGACAACAUUCCGAAAGGAAUGCUAAUACCGCAUACGUCCUACGGGAGAAAGCAGGGGAUCUUCGGACCUUGCGCUAAUAGAUGAGCCUAAGUCGGAUUAGCUAGUUGGUGGGGUAAAGGCCUACCAAGGCGACGAUCUGUAGCGGGUCUGAGAGGAUGAUCCGCCACACUGGGACUGAGACACGGCCCAGACUCCUACGGGAGGCAGCAGUGGGGAAUAUUGGACAAUGGGGGGAACCCUGAUCCAGCCAUGCCGCGUGUGUGAAGAAGGCCUUAUGGUUGUAAAGCACUUUAAGCGAGGAGGAGGCUACUGAGACUAAUACUCUUGGAUAGUGGACGUUACUCGCAGAAUAAGCACCGGCUAACUCUGUGCCAGCA